GUGCUCACUUCAGCGGCACAUAUACUAAAAUUGGAACCAUACAGAGAAGAUUAGCAUGGCCCCUGUGCAAGGACGACACACAAAUUCAUGAAGCGUUCCGUAUUUUU
rnacentral:snRNA from 1 species